GGUUCCAUGGUGUAAUGGUUAGCACUACAGACUCUGAAUCUGGCGAUUCAAGUUCAAGUCUUGGUGGAACCU
rnacentral:tRNA from 1 species